ACUUAGAUGAAAAUCAGAUCAAAUUUGAUCAAUGUGUGCAGAAAUUCAGGUAAUUCCAAAGGGUUCACAUACUUUUUCUUGCCACUGUAUGUGAUUGUAUACAAAUGUAAGCAUGGUUUGAAAUGAUUGUUGUAGUCAAAUGUUAUAUCUGUAUGGGCUUCUUGAGGUCAAUUUGCAAAUGAUUUGUAAUUAUGUUCUGCCCCCCUGACCAUCUGCUUAAGAGAAAAUGGGCCCACAGCUGAAUCUAGUUGAUGAUCCACACUUUGUCUUAUUGUUUAUAUUACAUAAUACUUCACUGUAGUUGUUGUGGUUCUGAAUCCUUUUCCUUUCUCCUGUCUGUCAGAUCCAGAUGCAGACGAUGAGACCAAGAAGAACAACAGAUGCAGCCUGGUCUGGGAGGGCACGGCUAAGGAGCGUAACUACGGGGAGAUGAAGUUUAAGCAGUGUCCUACAGAGAACAUGGCUAGAGAACACUUUAAGAAGCACGGAACAGAACACUACUGGGACCUGGCUCUGAGCCAGAGUGUGCUGGAGAGCACUGAUGACUGAAGGGAGAGCGUCACUAGAAAGCUGAGGAGGCAGAAGGAUCCCUUACCACUGACCCAGGGUCCGAUUAGUUGUUCAUCCUCAUAAUGGUUAGGAGUUAUCUGAUCCUGGAUCAGUGGUGAAGCGCAUUGUUACCUCGUGCACCAGAGACAUGCAAAGGUCAGGGGUGAUUCUACCCCUCUUACAGAUACAUUCAGAACCCCAACCCAGCCUUGUAUGGCUGACUGCUUGCCUGUUAUUGUGUGGUGACUUGACUGAAGGCAGGGAGGGUAGACUGAUUGGGAGUGAAUGAAUGAAAGGAAGUGCUGGUUAGAGAAUGGAUGAGGGCGAGGUCGUAGAUUAGGAGGGAUAUAUGGGGUGUGUAUAGAUAUUAUUGAGCGAGGUGUACACUGUUCUGCAAUCACAUUUUGUGGAAGAGUUGAUAACUGUGAGACCAUCUUUCUAGCAGUUAGGGUGUCAUUCAGGCUGUCAGUUGCUGUGUGUCAGUGUUUAAUACUUUGUCUGACAUCUCCACUGUGUGAGUGUUCUAUAGCUUGCUAUUGACUUCUCUACCUGACUACAGUUCCUGAGUAAGCCCAGCUGUGGUCCAAAUACAGUUCUGAAAUAUUGCCGCAAUGUACUAUUCCCAAGCAAAUGCCCUGUUUCGAAUAAACAAAAACCAACCUAUCAACGUAGAAGUAACUAAAGACUUUGAAACGUAUGAGAUCGUACAUUUGACUAUGGUUUGUGUCAUGUUUUUGGCCUUUUAUUGUAUUUUUAAAGGAAAUUGAUACAAUUGUUUUUUGUGGAAUGAUCACAUUUAGUGGAAUGACCACAUUUAGUCAAGUAUUGACUGACCCAAAAUUGUUUUAUUUUCUUUAGGUGUUUGUUUUGAAUAAAGUGUCUUCCCUUAAUGUUUGAUCCUGUAUAUUUAGUCAAUAAACACAUGCAGUACAAUA